UUUUUUUUUUUUGCUAUCAUCCAAGCAAGCAUUUUACAACGAGUGUAGAACAGAACACUGGGACUAUAAUGUUGUCUGAGAAAAAUUAACAGUGACUUCCACAGUCACAGAGGUUUGGAAACCAGCACACAUCAGAUGCUACUACUGCGAGGUCAUAGUGCAUAUUUGUACAUUACAAGCUCUCAACCUUCACCCUGGGAGGGAUCGUAUUUAUGUUUGCUUAAUCCAGAUUUUAUCAAACAUACUUGAUAGCAACAUCUCUCUUUUCUUUAUCUUUUCCUAUAUCCUUCUCCAAAGCACAUAUACAAAGUAUCUUUGAAUGUUCUAAUUUAUGACUGAUUGAGGACAGGUAAAAAGUAAAUGUUUGCUCACUGUAUGAACAACAUUUUCACAAUGCUUCAACAAGUGCAUUGAAAUUGCAGGGGCAUAAUUAAAGGAUGAGGCUAAGCUGAAGAUCUUCUACAGCACUGUUGUUUAGCCAACAAAUCAUGCAUAACCUGUGAAUAACUAUAUCCUUGAAAGCAAAUGUGGCUGAAAUUACUUCUGGUGCUCAGGCUAGUAAUACAGGCACUGGCUGAUGGAAUGGUUUAAUUAAUGUUUUCCUUGGACAAGUUGAAGUUACACUGACAGUAGUUGAAAUGACAUGCCCGGAAGGAACUUAGUUUCCAGGACACCACUACAUGCUUCCUUCCAGGAGUUUGAAGGUGCUCCACAGGGAGAAGGAAGUCCUGUUUGAAAGUCACGCUGAUGCCACAAAGCAUUAUUCACGGGUGCUUGGGGACUAGUUCAGAAUGGGCAUGUUCUCUCUAAGGAACAAGUAAACACAGAAGUAGGAUGUCGCACAGCCUUUAAUAUCUUCCUCACUUCUGGCCAGGAAAAUAAAUAAAAAAAUAAGUAGAAUGAGAAAAACCUCACUAAACAGAGAUGAAUAAGCUCUCCAGAAGCAUUUGGGAAAUUCAAUUUUUACAGGUGGACAGCAUCCAACAACUCAGACCUAUACCUGCUAGGAGGUAAUCCAGAUACCUUUUUAGUCUUUUUUAUUUUUUUGUAAUGGACUGCAAAGACUUUAAUAAUUUUCCAUUUAGGCCAGUCCCAUAAACUUCUGUAUGUCUUACAAAGAUUACAUCGUUGUUGGCACAGAGCCUACUCAGUUCCUUUCUGAUUAACAGGAUAAGUGUUACUAAUCCUGACAUAGUAUCCAAAAUGAUUUCCUCCUUAUUUAAAGAAAAAAAAAAAUAAAGUGAAAAAAAUAUUGCAGCUCCUGUCGGGGUACAGUGGUUAAUGAAUCCGACUAGGAACCAUGAGGUUGCGGGUUCGAUCCCUGGCCUUGCUCAGUGGGUUAAGCUGUGAGCUGUGGUGUAGGUUGCAGGCACGACUCAGAUACUGCAUUGCUGUGGGUCUGGCGUAGGCCGGCAGCUACAGCUCUGAUUAGACCCCUAACCUGGGAACCUCCAUAUGCUGCAGAAGUGGCCCUAAAAAAGGCAAAAAGACAAAAAGAAAAAAAAAAAUAUGUAUGUAUGUGUAUAUGUACAUAUAUACACAGAACUGAUUCACUUUGCUGCAAACCUAAAGCUAAUACAACAUUGUAAAAACAUUGUUAAUCAUUGUAAAACAUUGUAAAUCAACUAAACCACAAUAAUUUUUUAAUGCAGAGGUAAUAUUGCAAAUAAAUAGAUAAAUAAAUCACACUGCAAAUCUUUCAUAUGUGUUCAUAAAAAUCAAGAGCACCAUGUAAUUGGAAAACAAAGCAUAAUGUCAUGCUAGGUUUGAAAGCUAGCAACAUUCUGGGCAAUGUUAACAGAUAGGAGUUGUGGGUAUUAUUACACAUUUAUUUUAUUUGCAUGUGGUAGAACUAGUGAAAGUCCACUGAAAACUUGCCUGCUUUUUUUUUUUUUUCUUAAACUAGUAUUCACAUUUUUGGUGUACAAUUUUAUGAGCUUUGACAAAUGAAGAUUCCUAUAGCAACCAUUACAAAACCAUUCCAACACCACCAAAAAUUCCCCCAUGCUGCCACCUUUAAUAACCACUACACCCUACAUCCCCACAUUACCUGCAUCUAAUAAUCUUUAAUCUGUCUCUUGCGUUUUCAGAAUGUCAUAAAUAGGAUCAUUAAAUCAUUAAAUCUGGCAUUAAAUCAUUAAAGCAUUUAAUCUGGCUACUGUCACUUAGAACAAUGCCUCUGGAGAUUCAUUAGAUUGUAUAUAUCAAUAGUUUGUUCCUUUUCAUUGCUAAAUAGCAUUCCAUUGCCAUAGUGUUUCUCCAUCUACCUAAUGAAGGGCAUCUGUGUUGUUUCUAACAAUGUUGUGAUAAACAUUUCUGUGCAGAUUUCUCUAUGAACAUAAACUUAAAUAAUUUAAUAGAAGUGGGCUUGUCAGAUCAUUUGGCAAUUGUAUGUCUAACUUCAUAAUAAACUGCCAAACCAUUUUUCAGAGGGGUUGAAACAUCUUUGCAUCAUUUGAAUUUUAACAAACAGCCAAAGCUAUAGUAUUGGGGGGGAUGUGAUUUUCUUUUUCAUAGGUAAUUUACAUAAGAUGAAAUGAUAUUAUUUUAACAGCAAAAGAUGAAAAAUGGCAAAGAGGACCCAAGUCAGCACAGAAAACAAAUGCACAGAUCAAGUCAGAAACCAAGACUAUGCCUUAAGUCACCUGCAGCCAGACACUGCAGACAGUAAGUUCUCCAACUUGUUCAGGGAGAGGGGGGAAAGGAGAAAUAGGUUUACAAGCCAUCUGCUUAGAAAAGAAGAAAAACUGUGGAAAGAAACUGAGUUCUUGGUGACUUCUUUUGCUUUACCAGAAAAACAAUAUGGUCUGAUGGUUCCUUUAAAUACCUUUGUCUGCUUGAGCUAAAUUUUUGUCAUUUGCCAUACAAACUAACCUCAGACAGAUGUUAUAUUACAACUCUUUAAGCUAAUCUAAAAUAAUAAAAAAAUACAGUGAAAAAAUUGGGGGCAAACAUUUAAAAGACUGAAAAAUAAAGUAAAAUAUUACGUUACUAUGUUUGGAUGGUAGAACUAUAUGGCCAAAAAUAUGGCACAAAUGAACCUAUCUACCAAACACAAAUAGACUCACUACCAUAGAGAAGAGAUUUGUGGUUGCCAAGGGGGAGGAGGGAGAGAGUGAGAUAGACAGGGAGUUUGGGAUUAGUGGAUGCAAACCAUUACAUUUAGAAUGGAUGAGCAAUGAGGUCCUACUAUAUAAAACAGGGAACUUUAUCUCACUUCUUGGGAUAGAACACAAUGGAAGAUAACAUAAGAAAAAGAAUGUGUAUAUACAUAGAUGUAUGACUAGGUCACUAUGCUGUACAGCAGAAAUUGGCACAACACUGUAAAACAACUAUACUUUAAUAACAAAAGUCAAUCAUAUAAACACCCAUUUUCAACAUCAAUAAAUUAAUCACAUAAUCUAAAAAAAAAAAAAAACUGUGUGGGUGUUUUGUUCUAUUUAAAAAUAUUUAUUUUGGAGUUCCCGUUGUGGCACAGUCGCUGAUGAACCCGACUAUGAACCAUGAGGUUGUGGGUUUGAUCCCCGGCCUUGCUCAGUGGGUUAGGGAUCCAGCGUUGCCGUGAUCUGUGGUGUAGGUUGCAGAUGUGGCUCAGAUCUGGUGUUGCUGUGGCUCUGGUGUAGGCUCUGAUCUGACCCCUAGCCUGGGAACCUCUGUAUGCCACCGGUGCGGCCCUAGGAAAAAGACAAAAAAACAAAAAUUUAUUUCCACACUUUAUUUUAUGAAGAAAUACAUAGACAAAAAUGUGUAAUUUCAAAGUAUAUGUAUUCUAUGAAAGGACUGCACUUCUUUACAACAUUUAAUUCCUCAAUGAAGGAAUACUGAGUUAUCAGACCAAUCAUAACUUAUCAAAUACUAGUGCUUUUCUAUGCAGGAGAAAACAAUUAAAACCAAAUUAUUUAAAUGAAAUAAUACUCCCAUUGGUAUCUUGUAUAAGUACAGAAAAUUAUUUAGUUUUUCUGGGCAUCAGUGUCAACAUAUAAAAACUGAGAGUGAACUUUGUGGCUCUCAGUUCCUAUUUUAGGCAUGUGAUCAAAGAAAAUGCAUUAUUCCAAACCCAACCAGGCUCGACAUUUGAAAAUACAGUUAGUUAGAUGUUUCUGGAAUGUUAAAAUUAUACUUUGGAGUUUCCACUGUGGCUCAGUUGAAAUGAAUCUGACUAGCAUCCAUGAGGAUGCAGGUUCCAUUCCUGGUCUCACUCAGUGGGUUAAGGAUCCAGCAUUGCUGUGGCUGUGGUGUAGGCCAGCAGUUACAGCUCCAAUUUGACCCCUAGCCUGGGAAUCUCCAUAUGCUGCAGGUGCAGCCCUAAAAAGACAAAACAAAAAAUACGAACAAACAAACAAAAAAACCCAAAAAACAAAACUCUACUUCAAUUGUACAAAGACACUCUUUGACUUCUUGGGACCUGUUCUGCUUAAAAUUAUAAAAUAUAAUCCAUAGAUGAUUUUUAAAAUUCUAAUAGAAAAUCAAUGGAUUUCCAUUUUUUUUCAAAAAUACAUUAUUUAAUUGCAGAUAGUAUAAAAAUAGAAAAGGGAUUUUUAAUUUAAGAAAUACAUUUGUACCUCCUUUUAAACAUCAGUGUGUUCUUAGUUUAUACCUAUAGUGUAAAGUUCAGCAUUUUCAACUGCUUAAUUAUAUCCACACGAAUGCACAAUUUAUUGCUUUGAUUUUCCAGAGACCAUUUAUUACAAAAAUUAUUUUUUGUCUGAAAAAGAAGCGAGGUGUAUUUUUGGAGAAAGUUUGUUAAGCUUAAACAUCCAACUGCAAUAAAAAGGUCUUUACAGUUGAGUUUUAUUCAAAAAUAUUAUAAAUUAAAGAUAGAGGUACAAGCAUAAACCAUACUGUCAACAUUAUAACAUCUUCCACCAAGGUUAGUCCUCCAAACACAAAUGUUCCCAAUGAAUGACACAAACAUAGAUUCAUACAUUCUCUUUUAACUUCCAUAAAUUAAUAACUUUUUGUUAUUGUGUCUACUAUAAUUUUGAAAUAUAAAGUCAGAUUUUGUAUAUUAAUAUAAAGAUCCUCAAAUAUCUAAUAUGGGGUGACUUGAUCUUAUUAAGUUCACUUGUAGCAGCUAAUUAAAAGAUGCUCCCCUCCUCCCAAUCCCAAACCUGGUUGUUCAUAACAUCAGACUCCAUCUGAAGAUAAAGUGAGCUGCCUUUUCCCUUUUAGCCCAUAUUUUAGACACAUAUACUGUAGGAGCUAGCAGUUAUAUCC
rnacentral:lncRNA from 1 species